rnacentral:lncRNA from 1 species
AGAGCUAACUACAGCAAAGCAAGGGAGCACCACAACCUCGUAUUCAGAUUUCUUGAUAGACAGGAUCAGAUUAACACCAGAAGAUGAUGCAGGCCGCCGUUGCUUUGUCGGCCGUGCUGCCCGUCGCCCUAAGGUGCAGGCCGGCGGCGAGGAGGAGCAGCAGCGCCACCGUUGCCGGCGGCAGAAGGAUUGUGGGUGGCGGUGGCGUCCGUGCGUCGGCCGCGGCGGCGCCGGAGGCGGACUACAGCUCCAAUGUCUCGUACGUUUUCUCUCCCUCCUCCUUGGUCAGUCACUGGUUGAGCUUGAGCCGAGCCGAUCAUCAUCUAUGUCAUCUGGUGGUUGCCAUAUCGUCCGGCCAAUGCGGGGCGCAGGGUGUUCCCCAUGGAGGCCUGCGACCUGGUCGGCGGCGAGGCGUGCGACGCGCAGAUGUACCCGGAGACGAAGCUCGGCGGCGGCGCUGCUGCUGCUGCCGUCGCGAGGGCGCCGGAGGUGGAGAGGGAGUACCUGGCCUACGACGAGCCAAAAACGUACGUAAUCCUUGAUGCGUACACAAUUUUGUUAGCUGUAUCGUAGCACCUGUCAAUGUCAUUAACUGGAAACUGUGUAUAUGGAACUAUGGAUGGAUGGAUGGAUGCAGGGUGUUCCCGGACGAGGCGUGCGACGAUCUUGGCGGUGAGUUCUGCGAGGCGCCAUACCAAACCAGC